rnacentral:rRNA from 1 species
UACGGAGGGUGCAAGCGUUAAUCGGAAUUACUGGGCGUAAAGCGCACGUAGUCGGCUUUGCAAGUCGGUUGUGAAAUCCCCGGGCUCAACCUGGGAACUGCAUCCGAGACUGCAUUGCUAGAGUAUGGGAGAGGAAAGCGGAAUUUCUGGUGUAGCAGUGAAAUGCGUAGAUAUCAGAAGGAACAUCAGUGGCGAAGGCGGCUUUCUGGACCAAUACUGACGAUCAGGUGCGAAAGCGUGGGGAGCAAACAGG